rnacentral:misc_RNA from 1 species
GAAAUGCGAUAAGUAGUGUGAAUUGCAGAAUUCAGUGAAUCAUCGAAUCUUUGAACGCACAUUGCGCUCCCUGGUAUUCCGGGGAGCAUGCCUGUUUGAGUAUCAGUAAAUUCUCUCAUACCACUCCUUUGUUGGACGUAUGGAUAUGAGUCUUCCCAGGCGAAGGAAACUUCUGAAACUGGGUGACUUGAAAUGUAUGGUUUGGCUGGGACUCUUAAGAUCCAAUUGCCGAAAAGCGCGAAAAGAACUGAAGGGCUCUGGCCUGUUUAAGUUUAAAAAUCCGCUGAAACUCGGUGCUUUGGAAUUUUUUUCUUAGGAGCUAAAUCCAUCGCCUUCUCAAACUAUAUACACUUGAGCCUCGCUUUCUGCAGGCACCUGUGAUCUUGAUCUCAAAUCAGGC